AAUGGCUGCAGUAAUAUAACUGUACAAAGGUAGCAUAAUCAUUAGUUUUUUAAUUAAAAGCUUGUAUGAAAGGUUGAACGAAGUAAAAUCUGUCUCUUUUUAAUAUAAUUAGAAUUUAAUUUUUAAGUAAAAAAGCUUAAAUUUAUAUAAAAGACGAGAAGACCCUAUAGAGUUUAAUAAUUUAUUUUAAAUAAUUAAUUUAGAUUUAUUUAUUUUAUUUAUUAUAUAAUUAUUUUAUUGGGGUAAUAAUAAGAUUAAAAUAAUUCUUUUUUUUAUUUUACAUUAAUUUAUGAAUUAAAUGAUCCAUUUUUAUGAUUAAAAGAUUAAAUUACCUUAGGGAUAACAGCGUAAUUUUUUUAAAGAGUUCAUAUCGAUAAAAAAGUUUGCGACCUCGAUGUUGGAUUAAAGAUUAAUUUAGGUGUAGAAGUUUAAAUUUUUGGUCUGUUCGACCAUUAAAUCUUUACAUGAUCUGAGUUCAAACCGGUGUAAGCCAGGUUGGUUUCUAUCUUUAUAAAAUUUUUAUAUUUUAGUACGAAAGGACCAAAUAUUUAAUAUAUAAAUAUUUAAUUAUUUUGAAUAU
rnacentral:rRNA from 2 species